AAUUGACAAUAUAUUUUUAAAAAGAUAUUUGGUUGCUGGCAGGUGGCAUGUUGUAAUAGAAUAAGACUUAAUAUUUGGAGAAGGGUUUGCAGACAAUAUUGUCAGUCCUACAAUUGCAAUAAAGGCAAUGGAAGCUUAGUUACAGGGCAUUAUCAUGGAAAAAAUAUGCAUUAAUUGCAAUCUUGCAUAUCCAAGGAACACAGAAUUAUUUGAUGGCUCUGCUGUGCCUGUGCAAAUAAGGGGUAUAUUGAUCCGCAUUUAACCAAUCCCAGUGAGCAUGCGCAAGCACACACGCACGCACGCAGGCACACACGCGCGCACACACUCCUCUUUUUUUCUAGGCGGUUCCAAUCUGUUCUGUGUAUUCAUCUUUAUUUACAGUCUAUCGUAUUCAUUCAUCCAGAUCAUCCAGUCAAAAGGCUUUUUCGACUUCAUACGGCGCCAAAAGAACUGACAGGCCGAUGACGUCAAAGUAUCGCGAAAGCGAUUCGAGGAGUCUGCUUUCAAAUCGCUCUCGCGGAACUUUGACGUUGUACGUCUGUCAGUUGAUCUGGUUAAUGUGAUUCGCGCUCUUUAUCCGUUGCAACUUGCUGAGGUAAAUCUAAGUAAGACGAGAAAGUUGAACCUUGCUCAUUAAAUGGAUAAAAGAAAACCAUGUAAGAGUUGGUUUGGAUAAAUAUGCGAAGGACAAUACAUGUUAAGUGACCCAAAGACGGUUGGUCUUGUGGACAACGAGGAACAAAACGCCUAAAGGCGGUUGGAAAGCGUUUCCAGCACAAAUACUCAACGUGAACGAGAGCCUUGGGUAAAAAAAGGCAGAGUACCAGUGGUUAAAGACACACAAAAUGUGGACGUCAAAACAAAUGGCUACAUUUGCUCAUGAGGAAGAUGAUAACGAAGAGGAUGAGACUCCUUCAAACCAUAAGAUAGUGGAUGAUUCACACUCAACUGCAAAGCAAUGAAAGAUACUUGAAGGUGUGCAUCACGAAACUCAACGAACUCAGAACACAUCUGUCAUUAAAUUGAACCCAGUCACCUUGGAUUAUGCCCAAAAGUGUGAGAAUUACAAGAAACGCACCAGAACUGUGAUGGACUCCAUUUCCACCUUAGAAAAAAUGACAACAUGCUCCGUCACAGGGAAAAAGGGACCACUGGUGAACAAAGACAGAGUCCUGACAGAGAAAGUGAAGCUAGUAAUAGGGAGCCUGCUGGAAGAGAAUCUGAGGACUGAUGCACAUAUAACAAUGGACAUGCAUAAAGACACAUCUCUCUCUCUCUCUCUCUCUCUC